rnacentral:tRNA from 1 species
AUACCUAUAGCUCAAGUGGUAGAGCGCUCGAAUUAUUCGAGAGGUUGUUGGUUCAAGUCCAACUAGGUAUU